AAGUAGUUAGUUUAUUAAAAAUAUUAAUUUUGGAGAUUAAUGAUUGUUUUACUUU
rnacentral:tRNA from 1 species